GCUCCCCCCGAGCACGAUGCCGCGCAGGAAUGUGAAAGGCGCGCGCCCGCCGCCAUUUUCUCUCUUUCUUGGCAGACAGCGAUAGCGGUCGGAGCGGCGCCGGGGCGGCCAUGGCGGACUAUUCCACGGUGCCCCCUCCUGCCGCGGGCGCGCCCGGGGGAGGUGGUGGCGGGGCUGGAGGAGUGAACGAUGCCUUUAAAGACGCGCUGCAGAGGGCUAGGCAGAUUGCAGCGAAAAUUGGAGGAGAUGCUGGCACAGCAAUGAAUUCAAACGACUACGGUUAUGGAGGGCAGAAAAGACCUCUUGAAGAUGGAGAUGGCUCUUGGACAAGUCCGAGCAGUACAACACACUGGGAGGGAAUGCCCUCUCCUUUUAAAGAUCAACCAGAUGCUAAGAAAGUUGCUCCUCAGAAUGACUCUUUUGGAAAUCAGCUACCACCGAUGCAUCAGCAGCAAAGGUCUGUGAUGACAGAGGAGUACAAAGUUCCAGAUGGGAUGGUUGGAUUCAUAAUUGGCAGAGGUGGAGAGCAGAUCUCACGCAUACAGCAGGAGUCUGGCUGUAAAAUCCAGAUUGCACCUGAUAGUGGAGGCCUGCCUGAAAGAUCAUGUAUGCUAACUGGAACACCAGAGUCUGUUCAGUCAGCAAAAAGAUUACUUGAUCAGAUAGUUGAAAAGGGAAGACCUGCACCUGGAUUUCAUCAUGGUGAUGGACCUGGAAAUGCAGUCCAAGAAAUUAUGAUUCCAGCAAGUAAAGCAGGAUUAGUGAUUGGGAAAGGUGGAGAGACAAUUAAACAAUUACAGGAGCGGGCAGGUGUCAAAAUGGUCAUGAUUCAAGAUGGUCCACAGAAUACUGGUGCAGACAAGCCCCUUAGGAUAACUGGAGACCCUUAUAAAGUUCAGCAAGCCAAGGAAAUGGUGCUGGAGUUAAUUCGCGAUCAAGGUGGCUUUAGAGAGGUGCGCAACGAGUAUGGGUCAAGAAUAGGAGGAAAUGAAGGGAUAGACGUUCCAAUACCACGAUUUGCUGUAGGUAUUGUAAUUGGAAGAAAUGGAGAGAUGAUUAAAAAGAUCCAGAAUGAUGCUGGUGUUAGGAUCCAGUUUAAGCCAGAUGAUGGAACAACUCCAGAUAGAAUAGCCCAGAUCACAGGGCCUCCUGACAGAUGUCAGCAUGCUGCAGAAAUUAUUACGGAUCUCCUUCGCAGUGUUCAGGCUGGUAACCCUGGUGGACCAGGACCUGGUGGUCGAGGAAGGGGUAGAGGCCAAGGCAACUGGAACAUGGGGCCUCCUGGAGGAUUACAGGAGUUCAAUUUUAUUGUCCCUACUGGCAAAACUGGAUUAAUCAUUGGAAAAGGUGGAGAAACGAUUAAAAGUAUAAGCCAACAGUCUGGUGCUAGAAUAGAACUUCAAAGAAAUCCUCCACCUAAUGCGGAUCCAAACAUGAAGAUGUUUACUAUCCGUGGGACACCCCAGCAAAUAGAUUAUGCACGACAACUUAUAGAAGAAAAGAUUGGAGGUCCAGUGAAUCCAUUGGGUCCACCUGUUCCCCAUGGCCCCCAUGGUGUUGUUCCCGGCCCGCAUGGACCUCCUGGGCCACCAGGUCCUGGUGCUCCCAUGGGACCGUAUAACCCAGCUCCUUACAACCCAGGCCCUCCCGGUCCUGCACCUCAUGGUCCUCCAGCUCCAUAUGCUCCACAAGGAUGGGGAAAUGCUUAUCCUCACUGGCAGCCACCAAACCCACCAGACCCAGGUAAGCCAGGAACAGAUCCCAAUUCAGCAGCGUGGGCAGCUUAUUAUGCUCACUAUUAUCAGCAGCAAGCACAGCCACCACCUGCAGCCCCUCCUGGUGGACCAGCUACGACCCAGACUAAUGGACAAGGAGAUCAGCCAAAUCCAGCACCAGCAGGGCAGGUUGACUAUACCAAGGCCUGGGAGGAGUACUACAAAAAAAUGGGUCAAGCAGUUCCUGCCCCUGCUGGGGCUCCUCCGGGCGGUCAGCCAGAUUACAGCGCAGCGUGGGCGGAGUACUACAGGCAGCAGGCAGCGUACUACGCUCAGACAAGUCCACAGGGAAUGCCGCAGCAUCCUCCAGCACCACAGUGCAGGUUUGAUCCAGCCAGUAUAGAACUAGCUCUAUAGGGGUGAGGAGGACUGUGCUGUGUAUCAUCCUUGAUUGUUCCUUCAAGGAGCAUUGCACUUGCCUUCCCAGACCUUCCACCUUAGGUUCUGCUGCAAAAAAGCAACAGUGCUGAAGAUGCUGCAAGCACCAAAUCAUAGCUCAUAGAAUCAGGUCCUGAGAUAGUUACUACCAGUAAAGAGGAAUCCUUUGAGUGUAUGCCAUUGGUGAGCCGAUGAGCAUGGACCAUAGAAGGGCUCCAUGUAGAAGGUAAAAUUGGCAAAAGCAUAACAGAUUUGAAAUGUAUCCCAUACAUAAUGAUAUAGGGUAUAAUUUUUGUUUUGAUCACUUUUCAUUCUUUAAAGUAUUCUUUGUUUGACCAUAAAUGUUCCAUGAUCUGUUAAGUUUUAAACUGUGAUUUAAUAAUAUAAACCAUCUAUUUUACUUUAUAUUCUUCUAAACAGUCAAGCUAAUUUUUGAACUGAAUUAAUAGUUGUGCUUCAGUUUCUCAAGCCACUUAGUAUUUCAUCUGUAGCUUAACAUGUAACUUCAUUUUUGACGUGAGAAGAGGGUAGGUGUGUACCAUUUGGAGUUUGAUACUGUGGAUUUAGUGUGGGGGUGAGUCAUUUGUUCACUUCCUUUUUACAUGGUACUUUUUCCUUCAACUGUUACUCCUAAGAUAUCGUGAACAGUCUUUCAGUUGUUAAUUUAGCCUGUGGGAGGAGAAAAAGAAAAAGCCGGUGUAUUGGGAUGGUGCUAGUGUGUGGAAGGUGAGAUGUUCUUGUGUGUAACAUUUGAGGUGUAUUGGCUUCCAGCUUUCUCACUGCAGGGCUUGCAGGCAUGGGGGUUUGUGCAGAGCAUAGUGUUUCUUUUUCAACUCUGUCUCCAAACUCAGAGUUCCUGGGACAACAGUAGAUGAUUGGAGUUACCCCAGCAGCCAGAAAAAUAACUGGACUUGCUUAGAAAUGCAGUGAACUUGUCCAAAAGAUGUCUUGAAAUGUUUCUUGCUUACCCUACCCUCAUUGCUUAGUGUCCCACAAUGAAUGUGAAGAGUAAGAAAAGUUCUAAAAGGAAGCAUAAUGUUCCAAAUAGGAAAAGCAUUUUCAUACUACUUUCUGCAGCCUACACUUGAUUAGGACAUGGAACAGAAUACCAGGUGGAUACUCUUUAGUGUAAUAAGUCAUCUCUCACUUGUCCAGGCAGACAGGAUCACGAUUCACUUGCACAGCCUAUCUUGAAGUAUUUCAUCUUUUUACUAGUGGUAUUUUAUUGAAUGGUAGAAACUGUUUCUCCCCUGUUCUUUUCCAGAGUAAUUCUUAAAUCUUCCAUUGCAUGCCAAAAGCUUUUCCAUUUUGCUUUUUUUUCUGGAAAUGGGGGGAGGAAGGGAGGACUGGGCUUUGCAGAAAGCAUACAAUUGACAGGAUUCCCUCUUCCCUAGUAAUAGCUUAUGAAACUCUUGUGUAUGCACAAAUAUUUCUCUUGCGUGCAUGUGAAAUGCCUUUUCGUCCUGAGAAAAGUGUUCUCUGCAGAAACUACCCGUGUGUAUACAGAAGAUUGGCUUUAAAAGGCAACUGUGAUGGGAACAGUGUCUUAGGGAGAUGCAGCUUGGACUUGAGGUAAAUUGAAUGCUUUACAAAAAUGUGGUUUUGAGCUUGCAUUGACAUUGUAUGUAAUAUGGGUACACAUUAACUGUAUAAUGGUUUUUGUAUGGUUUUUCUCAAUAAAUGUAAAACUGAUGAAUAA